UCAAAGCAAGCCACAGACUAUCGAGAGUCUGCUCACACUUCUUAUUAGGGUUUAUCAUUAGGGUUUUGUUUCCAAAUUUCAUUUUGCAGAGAAAUGGCGUCUCUUAUGGUGAUUCGUAGGGCUCGAAACUCCAGUUUUGCUUCUUCAUUCAGGGUACGUUCUCUCAACUCUUCUUUUUGCUCUCCUUCUUCUUCAUUUCAGUUCAUCUUCAAUCACAACCACCAAGCCCUUACCCCCCUGAAGCUCUCACCUUCCACUCCUCUUCUCAAUCUCUCAUUCAAAUGUCUAAGCACUUCCGCAAUCCCAAACGAAUUCCAGAGACCCCUAGAACCGUCCAAUCCUCCUAGGGCUUUUCCUCAAGAUCAGAGUAAUCCGGACCAGUGGGGUUCACCGGACAUGAACCAUCCCUUUCACCAUCCCCAUCCCCAUCCCCAACAAGGAAACCCUAGUCAAUGGAGUAAUGGGAACCAGAACUACCCUCAGCGUCAGAAUCUUAAUUAUUCACCACCCGGGAACGCUAAUGAGUGGAACAAUCAAGAUCGUGGCUACACAAAACAAGACAGCCCUAAUUCGAGUCACAAUUAUCAGCAGCGGGAAGAGUUGAAUCAGUGGAAUAAUCAAAAUAAGGGGUACCCGCAACGGCAAAACUUUAACCAAAGUUGGUAUCGCCAAGGUGUGAAUCAGAACCAGGGACACCCACAACCUGUAAACCCUAACCAGAUGAACAAUCAGAACCCACAAGAACAGAAUCAUCAUCGGGGAAGCACUAACCAGUUUAACAAUAAGACUCAGAAUCAGGGGCAGGUUGUGAAUAAUCAAGCCCCCAGUGUUCCACCGGGUAACGUUGAUUUCAUGAGUUUGUGCCGAGAGGGGAAGGUCAAGGAAGCUCUUGAAUUGAUGGACCAAGGGGUCCGUGCUGAUGCUCAGUGUUUCCAUGCCUUGUUUGAUUUGUGUGCUAAUUCAAAAAAACUGGAGGAUGCAAAGAAAGUGCAUGAUUACUUCUUACAGUCUGCAUAUAGGGGCGAUCUUCAAAUGAAUAAUAUGGUGAUUGAGAUGUAUUCAGAGUGUGGAAGUAUGACGGAUGCACGGAGAGUGUUUGAUCAUAUGCCUGACAGGAACAUAGAUUCUUGGCAUCUGAUGAUUUAUGGGUAUGCAGCGAAUGCAUUGGGCGAUGAUGGGUUGGGGUUGUAUGAACAGAUGAGGGAGUUAGGAUUGCAACCAAAUGAACAAACUUUUCUUGCUGUUUUAUCUGCCUGUGCUAGUGCUGAAGCUAUAGAAGAAGGGUUUAUACAUUUUGGGUCAAUGAAGACUGAAUAUGGAAUUGCUCCUGGGAUAGAGCAUUAUUUGGAGCUUUUAGCUGUUCUUGGAAAAUCUGGCCAUCUCACUGAGGCUGAGGAAUUUAUUGAGAAUCUACCAUUUGAACCCACUGCAGCAAUUUGGGAGGCAUUGAGGAAUUAUGCUCGAAUUCAUGGUGAUAUUGAUCUUGAAGACCAUGCAGAAGAGUUAUUGGUUGCUCUUGACCCUUCAAAGGCCGUGGCCAAUAAGAUCCCUACCCCACCACCCAAGAAACAGUCCGCUAUCAAUAUGCUUGAGGGUAAAAACAGGCUAGGUGAGCUACGAAACCCUACUCUUUACAAGGAUGAUGAAAAGUUGAAGGCAGCGAUGAAAGAACAAGGUUAUGUGCCUGACACGAGAUAUGUUCUUCAUGACAUUGAUCAAGAGGCCAAAGAGCAGGCCUUGCUUUAUCACAGUGAACGCUUGGCAAUUGCAUAUGGUCUAAUUAGUACUCCAGCAAGGAUACCACUGAGAAUCAUCAAGAAUCUCCGUGUUUGCGGUGAUUGUCAUAACGCAAUUAAGAUCAUGUCCAAGAUUGUUGGGAGGGAGUUGAUUGUCAGGGACAACAAACGGUUUCAUCAUUUCAAGGAUGGCAAAUGCUCAUGUGGUGAUUAUUGGUGAUAUUACCAUUGGUUUGAACUUCUGUUCUUGGCUUGGAGGAUAAGCAAGGAGCGAUGGCAAAGAAGCUUGUUGAUGAUUCUGCAUUGGGGAAUUUAGGGGGGAAAAGUAAAAAAUUAAAGUUAGGAAGAGAAAGAAAGAUGGUUCAGUCUCUGAAGGGUUACCUCAAGAGCUAGUGGAAGUGGUUGACAAAGAAAUCCAAUAAUUAAUGAUUCUAGAAAGAGAGGAUGCAGCCAACAAAGAAAAAAAAACAUUCCAAGAAAAGAAAAAGAUUAGCUUCUGACUAAAAUGAGCUUCAGCCUGUUGCGGAUGUAGCAACUGAAGACUCCAAGCGCAGAAAAACUUAAAGAUUGGAAGAAACGAAGAGUAAUGAGCAAAUGAUAAAGGUGAAUGCAAUCCCAGGAGGUGAUGGGCAUGCUUACGAAGAAAGUAAAGGGUAAAAUGACCAAGUUGGUCAUGCUGACUUGAAGAAGGCUUGUACAAAGCAGCUUUGAUAAGCAUGCAAAUGGGAAGCUUGAGGAGAAUGGGGAAGAGAAAUUUGCCUUGCAGAAAACCAUGAGGAAAGAACUUAUUGGAUCAGCUGAGCCAAAGACAGUGAAUGCAUUUCAAAGAGUGAAAGUCGAUGAGGUUGAAUUUCCUGAUGACAGGCUUCAAAAUAAUUCUUACUGGGCCAAGGGACCUCCGUCAUGAAAAGACCAAGAAGCAGUGUGGUAGCUACAGAGGAGGGCAGAUUGAUCUGCAAUCCCAUUCAGUAAAGUUCGAUUAUUCAGAUGAUGAAUGAUUGGCAACAAAUUUGUGGGUGCUUUUUUGGCGGUGGUUGAUUUUGAACUCAUAAUGCCUUGAAUCAUUUUUGUGUGUGAUUAAUGCAACAAUUCUUACAUGGUUCUCCCUGACUUAAAUUGAUGCUUUUACUUGACGAUUUAGAACUUUUAAAAUUUUCUGUUUUUGCAGUUGUUGUAUAUAUCAUUUUACUUUUUGUUGCCCUUUGCCUUGCAAUUGGCAAUUAAAUUAAUGGAUAAUUAACCUUUUGGACU